rnacentral:rRNA from 1 species
AUUGAACGCUGGCGGCAGGCCUAACACAUGCAAGUCGAGCGGAUGAAGGGAGCUUGCUCCUGGAUUCAGCGGCGGACGGGUGAGUAAUGCCUAGGAAUCUGCCUGGUAGUGGGGGAUAACGUCCGGAAACGGGCGCUAAUACCGCAUACGUCCUGAGGGAGAAAGUGGGGGAUCUUCGGACCUCACGCUAUCAGAUGAGCCUAGGUCGGAUUAGCUAGUUGGUGGGGUAAAGGCCUACCAAGGCGACGAUCCGUAACUGGUCUGAGAGGAUGAUCAGUCACACUGGAACUGAGACACGGUCCAGACUCCUACGGGAGGCAGCAGUGGGGAAUAUUGGACAAUGGGCGAAAGCCUGAUCCAGCCAUGCCGCGUGUGUGAAGAAGGUCUUUGGAUUGUAAAGCACUUUAAGUUGGGAGGAAGGGCAGUAAGUUAAUACCUUGCUGUUUUGACGUUACCAACAGAAUAAGCAACGGCUAACUUCGUG